GAGGGUAUAGCUCAAGUGGUAGAGUGCAUGCUUAGCAUGCACGAGGUCCUGGGUUCAAUCCCUAGUACCUCCA
rnacentral:tRNA from 1 species